rnacentral:rRNA from 1 species
UACGUAGGGUGCAAGCGUUUGUCCGGAAUUUAUUGGGCGUAAAGAGCUCGUAGGCGGUCUGUUGCGUCCGCUGUGAAAACUCGGGGCUUAACCCCCGAGCCUGCAGUGGAUCGGGCAGACUAGAGGUAGGUAGGGGAGAAUGGAAUUCCCGGUGUAGCGGUGAAAUGCGCAGAUAUCGGGAGGAACACCGGUGGCGAAGGCGGUUCUCUGGGCCU